CCUACGGGUGGCAGCAGUGAGGAAUAUUGGUCAAUGGACGCAAGUCUGAACCAGCCAUGCCGCGUGCAGGAUGACGGCUCUAUGAGUUGUAAACUGCUUUUGUACGAGGGUAAACCCCGAUUCGUGUGUCGGACUGAAAGUAUCUGACGAAUAAGGAUCGGCUAACUCCGUGCCAGCAGCCGCGGUAAUACGGAGGAUGCGAGCGUUAUCCGGAUUUAUUGGGUUUAAAGGGUGCGUAGGCGGUUUGGUAAGUUAGCGGUGAAAUGUCGGGGCUCAACCCCGAAACUGCCGUUAAUACUGUUGGACUAGAGAAGUGUUGAGGUAGGAGGAAUGUACGGUGUAGCGGUGAAAUGCUUAGAGAGUAUACAGAACACCGAUUGCGGAGGCAGCUUACCAGCCGCUAUUUGACGGUGAGGCACGAAAGCGUGGGUAGCAAACAGGAUUAGAUACCCGAGUAGUC
rnacentral:rRNA from 1 species